GACGAACGCUGGCGGCGUGCUUAACACAUGCAAGUCGAACGAUGAAGCUAGAGCUUGCUCUGGUGGAUUAGUGGCGAACGGGUGAGUAACACGUGAGUAACCUGCCCCGAACUCUGGGAUAACUGCUGGAAGCGGUAGCUAAUACUGGAUACGACCAACGAAGGCAUCUUCUCUUGGUGGAAAGAAUUUCGGUUCGGGAUGGACUCGCGGCCUAUCAGCUUGUUGGUGAGGUAACGGCUCACCAAGGCGACGACGGGUAGCCGGCCUGAGAGGGGGAUCGGCCAAACUGGGACUGAGACACGGCCCAGACUCCUACGGGAGGCAGCAGUGGGGAAUAUUGCACAAUGGGCGCAAGCCUGAUGCAGCAACGCCGCGUGAGGGACGACGGCCUUCGGGUUGUAAACCUCUUUUAGUAGGGAAGAAGCGAAAGUGACGGUACCUGCAGAAAAAGCACCGGCUAACUACGUGCCAGCCGCCGCCGUAA
rnacentral:rRNA from 1 species